GACAGAGGCCCCAAGCGUUAGGCGGAGUCACUGGGCUUAAAGCGUGUGUAGGCGGAUCGUUAAGUGUCUUGUGAAAUCCCACGGCUCACCCGUGGAACUGCUGGGCAUACUGGCGAUCUUGGGCCAACUAGGGGCAGUCGGAACAAACGGUGGAGCGGUGAAAUGCGUAGAUAUCGUUUGGAACGCCAACGGUGAAAACAGACAGCUGGGAGUGUGCUGACGCUGAGACACGAAAGCCAGGGGAGCGAACGGG
rnacentral:rRNA from 1 species